AUUGAACGCUGGCGGCAGGCCUAACACAUGCAAGUCGAGCGGAAACGAGUUAUCUGAACCUUCGGGGAACGAUAACGGCGUCGAGCGGCGGACGGGUGAGUAAUGCCUAGGAAAUUGCCCUGAUGUGGGGGAUAACCAUUGGAAACGAUGGCUAAUACCGCAUGAUGCCUACGGGCCAAAGAGGGGGACCUUCGGGCCUCUCGCGUCAGGAUAUGCCUAGGUGGGAUUAGCUAGUUGGUGAGGUAAGGGCUCACCAAGGCGACGAUCCCUAGCUGGUCUGAGAGGAUGAUCAGCCACACUGAAACUGAGACACGGUCCAGACUCCUACGGGAGGCAGCAGUGGGGAAUAUUGCACAAUGGGCGCAAGCCUGAUGCAGCCAUGCCGCGUGUGUGAAGAAGGCCUUCGGGUUGUAAAGCACUUUCAGUCGUGAGGAAGGUAGUGUAGUUAAUAGCUGCAUUAUUUGACGUUAGCGACAGAAGAAGCACCGGCUAACUCCGUGCCAGCAGCCGCGGUAAUACGGAGGGUGCGAGCGUUAAUCGGAAUUACUGGGCGUAAAGCGCAUGCAGGUGGUUUGUUAAGUCAGAUGUGAAAGCCCGGGGCUCAACCUCGGAAUAGCAUUUGAAACUGGCAGACUAGAGUACUGUAGAGGGGGGUAGAAUUUCAGGUGUAGCGGUGAAAUGCGUAGAGAUCUGAAGGAAUACCGGUGGCGAAGGCGGCCCCCUGGACAGAUACUGACACUCAGAUGCGAAAGCGUGGGGAGCAAACAGGAUUAGAUACCCUGGUAGUCCACGCCGUAAACGAUGUCUACUUGGAGGUUGUGGCCUUGAGCCGUGGCUUUCGGAGCUAACGCGUUAAGUAGACCGCCUGGGGAGUACGGUCGCAAGAUUAAAACUCAAAUGAAUUGACGGGGGCCCGCACAAGCGGUGGAGCAUGUGGUUUAAUUCGAUGCAACGCGAAGAACCUUACCUACUCUUGACAUCCAGAGAACUUUCCAGAGAUGGAUUGGUGCCUUCGGGAACUCUGAGACAGGUGCUGCAUGGCUGUCGUCAGCUCGUGUUGUGAAAUGUUGGGUUAAGUCCCGCAACGAGCGCAACCCUUAUCCUUGUUUGCCAGCGAGUAAUGUCGGGAACUCCAGGGAGACUGCCGGUGAUAAACCGGAGGAAGGUGGGGACGACGUCAAGUCAUCAUGGCCCUUACGAGUAGGGCUACACACGUGCUACAAUGGCGCAUACAGAGGGCGGCCAACUUGCGAAAGUGAGCGAAAUCCCAAAAAGUGCGUCGUAGUCCGGAUUGGAGUCUGCAACUCGACUCCAUGAAGUCGGAAUCGCUAGUAAUCGUGGAUCAGAAUGCCACGGUGAAUACGUUCCCGGGCCU
rnacentral:rRNA from 1 species